rnacentral:rRNA from 1 species
UACGAAGGUGGCUAGCGUUGCUCGGAAUCACUGGGCGUAAAGGGUGCGUAGGCGGGUCUUUAAGUCCGGGGUGAAAUCCUGGAGCUCAACUCCAGAACUGCCUUUGAUACUGAAGAUCUUGAGUUCGGGAGAGGUGAGUGGAACUGCGAGUGUAGAGGUGAAAUUCGUAGAUAUUCGCAAGAACACCAGUGGCGAAGGCGGCUCACUGGCCCGAUACUGACGCUGAGGCACGAAAGCGUGGGGAGCAAACAGG